CUCAGGACGUAGCAACAGCGCAAUUCACACAGAAGCGCUGGAUGCUGAAGGGAAUCUUACACGGUCACGUGCUCAUCAACUGCUCAGCAGCAGCUAGCUCGUGCCCCGGUACUUUCUUCUCUGAUACACAGUGACAUUUGUGUGUCCCUGCUGCAGUUUUCUUUUGAGAGAAAGACUCUCAAAAUGUUAAUUGAACUAAAGGCAGCGGUGCGAGACCUUAGGGCUGCAGUAGCAGAAUGCAGGUGUAAUAUGGGGACAGCAGCACUGGAGGAGACCAGUGGUUUGCUCGGGGAUAUUCUGCCAGAGCCACUUUCCACCUGUGAAGAGUGGGAAGAAUUAGAGAGCAAGCUA